UUUCGUGCAUGAGCGUCAGUGCAGGCCCAGGGGAUUGCCUUCGCCAUCGGUGUUCCUCCGCAUAUCUACGCAUUUCACUGCUACACGCGGAAUUCCAUCCCCCUCUGCCGCACUCUAGCCUUGCAGUCACAAUGGCAGUUCCCAGGUUGAGCCCGGGGAUUUCACCACUGUCUUACAAAACCGCCUGCGCACGCUUUACGCCCAGUAAUUCCGAUUAACGCUUGCACCCUACGUAUUACCGCGGCUGCUGGCACGUAGUUAGCCGGUGCUUAUUCUUACGGUACCGUCAUGACCCGGGGAUAUUAGCCCCAGGCUUUUCGUUCCGUACAAAAGCAGUUUACAACCCGAGGGCCUUCAUCCUGCACGCGGCAUUGCUGGAUCAGGCUUUCGCCCAUUGUCCAAAAUUCCCCACUGCUGCCUCCCGUAGGAGUCUGGGCCGUGUCUCAGUCCCAGUGUGGCUGGUCGUCCUCUCAGACCAGCUACAGAUCGCAGGCUUGGUAAGCCUUUACCCCACCAACUACCUAAUCUGCCAUCAGCCGCUCUAGUAGCACAAGGCCCGAAGGUCCCCUGCUUUCAUCCGUAGAUCUCAUGCGGUAUUAGCUACUCUUUCGAGUAGUUAUCCCCCACUACUAGGCAC
rnacentral:rRNA from 1 species